rnacentral:rRNA from 1 species
AGUGAACGCUGGCGGUAGGCCUAACACAUGCAAGUCGAACGGCAGCACAGUAAGAGCUUGCUCUUACGGGUGGCGAGUGGCGGACGGGUGAGGAAUACAUCGGAAUCUACUUUUUCGUGGGGGAUAACGUAGGGAAACUUACGCUAAUACCGCAUACGACCUACGGGUGAAAGCAUGGGAUCUUCGGACCUUGCGCGAUUGAAUGAGCCGAUGUCGGAUUAGCUAGUUGGCGGGGUAAAGGCCCACCAAGGCGACGAUCCGUAGCUGGUCUGAGAGGAUGAUCAGCCACACUGGAACUGAGACACGGUCCAGACUCCUACGGGAGGCAGCAGUGGGGAAUUUUGGACAAUGGGCGCAAGCCUGAUCCAGCCAUACCGCGUGGGUGAAGAAGGCCUUCGGGUUGUAAAGCCCUUUUGUUGGGAAAGAAAAGCAGCAGGUUAAUACCCCGCUGUUCUGACGGUACCCAGAGAAUAAGCACCGGCUAACUUCGUG